UACAGAGGGUGCAAGCGUUUAAUCGGAAUUACUGGGCGUAAAGCGCGCGUAGGUGGUUCGUUAAGUUGGAUGUGAAAUCCCCGGGCUCAACCUGGGAACUGCAUUCAAAACUGUCGAGCUAGAGUAUGGUAGAGGGUGGUGGAAUUUCCUGUGUAGCGGUGAAAUGCGUAGAUAUAGGAAGGAACACCAGUGGCGAAGGCGACCACCUGGACUGAAUACUGACACUGAGGUGCGAAAGCGUGGGGAGCAAACAGGA
rnacentral:rRNA from 1 species